rnacentral:rRNA from 1 species
AGUGAACGCUGGCGGUAGGCCUAACACGUGCAAGUCGAACGGCAGCACAGAGGAGUUUGCUCCUUGGGUGGCGAGUGGCGGACGGGUGAGGAAUACAUCGGAAUCUACUCUGUCGUGGGGGAUAACGGAGGGAAACUUACGCUAAUACCGCAUACGACCUACGGGUGAAAGCAGGGGAUCUUCGGACCUUGCGCGAUUGAAUGAGCCGAUGUCGGAUUAGCUAGUUGGCGGGGCAAAGGCCCACCAAGGCGACGAUCCGUAGCUGGUCUGAGAGGAUGAGCAGCCACACUGGAACUGAGACACGGUCCAGACUCCUACGGGAGGCAGCAGUGGGGAAUAUUGGACAAUGGGCGCAAGCCUGAUCCAGCCAUACCGCGUGGGUGAAGAAGGCCUACGGGUUGUAAAGCCCUUUUGUUGGGAAAGAAAUCCAUCUGGUUAAUACCCGGGUGGGAUGACGGUACCCAAAGAAUAAGCACCGGCUAACUUCGUGCCAGCCGCCGCAGUAA